rnacentral:lncRNA from 1 species
UCAAGUAAAGACUACGUAUGCACAUGGAGUCGCAUAAGAUACAUCUUCUAUGUCACCACGAGUCACGAGAGCUUUACAUAGAACAUAAGCAUUUUUGUCAAUCAGCUAGCUUCUUUGAAGCAUUUGAAUGCUUCGCUUUGGUUAAAACCGUUUCAUUAGGAUAUACAGCUUCGUUCGUGUACAUUCUACAAGGGAGGACCCAUGGAGGUGAUUUACAAUCUUGCGAACCUCCUAGCUAGGUGACAAAGUAAGCCCAAACCCCAUCUACCUUAAGAGGCGAAGAGUGGGACACUUGUUUAGUGUAAAGAAAAUUAUCCACACUUCUCCUUCGACAUCAAGUAUGACAUUAAAGUAGGGGGUCACAUGAUCUGGUGAGAAUCUUGUGACUGUAUUUCCUACCUCAUAAUAUGUCAUAUUUGGGAGUACUAUUACUCAUAGUCAGAGUCUGUAGUCGUUAUCUUAUGUAUCA